CCCAUAAAAAGUAAAUCCUGCCCAGUGAAAAAUUAAACGGCCGCGGUACCCUAACCGUGCAAAGGUAGCAUAAUCAUUUGCCUAUUAAUUGUAGGCUAGUAUGAACGGGUAAACGAAAUAAAGUCUGUCUCAAUUAGUACACUAAAAAUUAAUAUUUACAUGAAGAAGUGUAAAUAAAAUCGAAGGACAAGAAGACCCUAUAGAGCUUUAUUUUAGCUACAUAUUUUAAUGUAUUAAAAUUCGGUUGGGGCGACCAAGGGAUAUAUAACACCCUAAUUAAUAAAGAUUAAUAAAUCUAUAAAAUGACCCUUAUUUAGAUCACAAGAUCAAGCUACCUUAGGGAUAACAGGCUAAUCCCAUUAGAGAGUCCAUAUCGAUAGUGGGGUUUGGCACCUCGAUGUUGGCUUAGGAUUCCAAUAUAGCGCAAAAGUUAUAUAAUGAUGGUUUGUUCAACCAU
rnacentral:rRNA from 1 species